rfam:Triticum aestivum genome assembly, contig: Triticum_aestivum_CS42_TGACv1_scaffold_321332_4BL
AACAUACUCCCUCCGUUCGGAAUUACUCGUCGAAGAAAUGAAUGUAUGUAGAUGUAUUUUAGUUGUAGAUACAUCGAUUUUUGUGACAAGUAAUUCCGAACGGAGGGAGUAGUAU